rnacentral:rRNA from 1 species
AUUGAACGCUGGCGGCAGGCCUAACACAUGCAAGUCGAACGAGUGGCGGACGGGUGAGUAAUGUCUGGGAAACUGCCUGAUGGAGGGGGAUAACUACUGGAAACGGUAGCUAAUACCGCAUACCAUAAGAUGAGCCCAAGUGGGAUUAGGUUGUUGGUGGGGUAACGGCUCACCAAGGCGACGAUCCCCAGCUGGUCUGAGAGGAGGACCAGCCAACCUGGAACUGAGACACGGCCCAGACUCCGACGGGAGGCAGCAGUGGGGAAUAUUGCGCAAUGGGCGCAAUCCUGAUGCAGCCAUGCCGCGUGUAUGAAGAAGGCCUUCGGGUUGUAAAGUACUUUCAGUGGGGAGGCGUUACCCGCAGAAGAAGCACCGGCUAACUCCGUGCCAGCAGCCGCGGUAAUUC